rnacentral:rRNA from 1 species
AUUGAACGCUGGCGGCAGGCCUAACACAUGCAAGUCGAGCGGUAGCACAGAGAGCUUGCUCUCGGGUGACGAGCGGCGGACGGGUGAGUAAUGUCUGGGAAACUGCCUGAUGGAGGGGGAUAACUACUGGAAACGGUAGCUAAUACCGCAUAACGUCGCAAGACCAAAGUGGGGGACCUUCGGGCCUCAUGCCAUCAGAUGUGCCCAGAUGGGAUUAGCUAGUAGGUGGGGUAACGACUCACCUAGGCGACGAUCCCUAGCUGGUCUGAGAGGAUGACCAGCCACACUGGAACUGAGACACGGUCCAGACUCCUACGGGAGGCAGCAGUGGGGAAUAUUGCACAAUGGGCGCAAGCCUGAUGCAGCCAUGCCGCGUGUAUGAAGAAGGCCUUCGGGUUGUAAAGUACUUUCAGCGGGGAGGAAGGCGACAAGGUUAAUAACCUUGUCGAUUGACGUUACCCGCAGAAGAAGCACCGGCUAACUCCGUGCCAGCCGCCGCCGUAACAC